rnacentral:rRNA from 1 species
ACGGUGAAGGAGAGCUUGCUCUCCGGAUCAGUGGCGAACGGGUUAGUAACACGUGAGCAAUCUGCCCCUGACUCUGGGAUAAGCGUUGGAAACGACGUCUAAUACCGGAUACGAGCUGCGAAGGCAUCUUCAGCAGCUGGAAAGAACUUCGGUCAGGGAUGAGCUCGCGGCCUAUCAGCUAGUUGGUGAGGUAAUGGCUCACCAAGGCGUCGACGGGUAGCCGGCCUGAGAGGGUGACCGGCCACACUGGGACUGAGACACGGCCCAGACUCCUACGGGAGGCAGCAGUGGGGAAUAUUGCACAAUGGGCGCAAGCCUGAUGCAGCAACGCCGCGUGAGGGACGACGGCCUUCGGGUUGUAAACCUCUUUUAGCAGGGAAGAAGCGAAAGUGACGGUACCUGCAGAAAAAGCACCGGCUAACUACGUGCCAGCAGCCGCGGUAAUACGUAGGGUGCAAGCGUUAUCCGGAAUUAUUGGGCGUAAAGAGCUCGUAGGCGGUUUGUCGCGUCUGCUGUGAAACCCCGAGGCUCAACCUCGGGCCUGCAGUGGGUACGGGCAGACUAGAGUGCGGUAGGGGAGAUUGGAAUUCCUGGUGUAGCGGUGGAAUGCGCAGAUAUCAGGAGGAACACCGAUGGCGAAGGCAGAUCUCUGGGCCGUAACUGACGCUGAGGAGCGAAAGGGUGGGGAGCAAACAGGCUUAGAUACCCUGGUAGUCCACCCCGUAAACGUUGGG